rnacentral:rRNA from 1 species
UAGGGAAUAUUGGGCAAUGGGCGAAAGCCUGACCCAGCAACGCCGCGUGUGUGAUGAAGGCCUUCGGUCGUAAGCGACUUUCUGGAGAUGAGAAAGGACGGUAUCCCAGGAAUAAGUCUCGGCUAACUACGUGCCAGCAGCCGCGGUAAAACGUAGGAGGCGAGCGUUAUCCGGAUUCACUGGGCGUAAAGCGCGUGCAGGUGGCGCGGUAAGUUGGGUGUGAAAUCUCCCGGCUCAACUGGGAGAGGUCAUUCAAUACUACCGUGCUUGAGAGCAGAAGAGGAAGAUGGAAUUCCCGGUGUAGUGGUGAAAUGCGUAGAUAUCGGGAGGAACACCAGUGGCGAAGGCGAUCUUCUGGUCUGUUUCUGACACUCAGACGCGACAGCUAGGGUAGUAAACGGGAUUAGGGACCCCGGUAAUCCUAGCCGUAAACGAUGUGAACUUGGCGUUGGUGGGUUAAACUCCAUCAGUGCCGUAGCAAACGCGAUAAGUUCACCGCCUGGGG